rnacentral:tRNA from 1 species
CAGAGCGUAGUUCAGAUGGCAGAACGCCGCGCUGGGGGUGCGGAGGUCGCGAGUUCAAGUCUCGCCGCUCUGA